rnacentral:lncRNA from 1 species
CAAUGAGUAUGGUUAUUACCAACUUCCUUUCUUCUCUGUACUCUUCCAUUUCUCAUCAUUUAGAGAUGUCUGAUCUUUGCAACAGAAGACUGAGACAUGGGCCACAAUUAAUCUUCAUAUUUCAAAAAGAAGACCAGGGAUUGCAGGAAAAUGGUUUAGGGGUACGACCUGUCUGAUCCUGGCAUAACUCCCAGAGAUGGUACUUCCACCUUGCCCAGAGCAAGAGCUCCAUGGAGAAUGGCCAUAAAGAGUCACUCUGAAGCAGAUGAAAUCUCAGCAUGAGAGAGAGAUGAGUGUUCUAGUUGAAGUGAGGGCCAUGUUCCAGGAGACACAUCAGCUCUGCCCUUUCAGCUUCCACUAUACCUUUUCCAGGAGAACUUGGAUCAUUUCCACAUCAAGAAAUGCAGUUUGGAAACCCACUGGACCAGGAAAGCAAAGACACAGUCAUGAUGCAAAUACCCCAAGAGAUGUAAAAUGUCAACAAAAGGCACAAUAUAAGAAGGGAAUGAAUAAAGGCAGAGUCUGGACCCUAGUUCCCACUCUACUACUCUUUCUUUUUAGGAAACAUUUGCUGAUGCCUGGUCCCGGAGCUGCAUUUCUCAAGCUUUAAUAUCCAUGAUAAAAUAAAGAAAACAACCUGAAGAAGCCA